AUUGAACGCUGGCGGCAGGCUUAACACAUGCAAGUCGAGCGAGAGGCGGACGGGUGAGUCAUGUCUGGGAAACUGCCUGAUGGAGGGGGAUAACUACUGGAAACGGUAGCUCAUAACGCAUACCAUCAGAUGUGCCCAGAUGGGAUUAGCUAGUAGGAGGGGUAAUGGACCACCUAGGCGACGAACCCUAGCUGGUCUGAGCGGAUGACCAGCCACACGGGAACUGAUACACGGUCCAGACUCCUACGGGAGGCAGCAGUGGGGAAUAUUGCCCAAUGGGCGCAAGCCUGAUGCAGCCAUUCCGCGUGUGUGAAGAAGGCCUUCGGGUUGUAAAGCACUUUCAGCGAGGAGGCGUUACUCGCAGAAGAAGCACCGGCUAACUCCGUGCCAGCAGCCGCGGUAAUAC
rnacentral:rRNA from 1 species